GAAAGCAGGACAAUUUCAGAAAAAGCACAAGUCAAGAAGUAACUUACUGUGAAAUAAAUUUCCCAGAUAAAAAACCAUCAAAUGUUCAUGU